AGAUGUCCUUCAAGACAACAGAACCCACAACAACCAUGACUUCUAUCACCAUAUUCAUCUGGAUUUUUGUAUUCUACAUGAAGGAAUCCAGUGGACAGUACACUGUGACUCAGACUCCUACAGUGAAAGUUGUUCAUGUUGGACAGACAGUCGCUCUGAACUGUCAAACCAGCAGUGAUGUGUAUGGCUCUUAUCCCUGCCUAGCCUGGUACCAACAGAAACCUGGAGGAGCUCCUAAACUCCAUAGACCCCAUCUGGAUUCAGUGGUAGUGGAUCUGGGAGUGACUUCACUCUGACCAUCAGUGGAGUCCAGGCUGAAGAUGCAGGAGAUUACUACUGUCAGAAUUACCACAGUAGUGGAUUGUUCACACAGUGAUACAGAGUCGUACAAAAACCUCCCUCAGUCAGACUGCACAGUGACUGUACUGAUACAGCUGGGACCUUCUGCAGGUGCUGAGGGGGAAGAGACAGUGACAUGAAACACUGAUCAGUAGAGGAGGUCAACUUUGAAAAUGGUUAGAAAGUAUCAUUCAGAACACACGUUCUCCAAUGUCGUCAUCAUCAUCAUCAUCAUCAUCAUUGUCAUUAUUAUCAUCAUCAUGGUUACAACUUGUUAUAUUGGUCAUGAACUGAAAAUGUAUAUAAAAGUUAUUUGUAGUUUUUGAAGACAAUACCAGUCCAUAGUAGAGUAAGGUGUACAGAAGUAAGAGGAAACGUAUCAGCCCCCCAAACCAUUUCCCUACAUGCACUUCACAACCAGUUAAUGAUGUGAUCAUCGAGCAUGUAUUAACUCUUUUCAUGAGCUGUUAGAUCUGUGAAUGAGACAUGAUGCUGGGCUCAAACAUGACACAUUGAUGUAGAGACAUACACUACACACUGUUAUCAUAAAGUAUAGUAUCUGUUUAAUCUGUCAUUAAUUACAUGGUGAAUCCACCAUAGAUGUUAAACCAGUCCACUCCCUCACAUCUGGCCCAGUCCAGAGUAUUUCACUCAGCGAAACUGUUCAACUGCUUGACUGGUAGCUGUGUGAGUGAAACUGAGAUUUACAUAGACAGGGAAGGAUGGUUCUGCUUGUCCCAGAAUAGAGCAGCACUGUCGCCAUAUUGGGAAUGAAACAUAAAUACAUAUGUUUUGGAAAGUAAUUGUUCAGCAGUGUGAGUUCUGAGAGCAGAUCUUAGAGGUUUAUUACCUAAUAUCACUAAUUAUUCUCACUGGUAUUGGAGCUACAUUAUAACAGGCUCAUUCAGUUGUAGAAAUGAUUGCAGAGUAUUUGUUGGAUCAGAUGCCCUUUUAAUUAUGUUUGAAAACAUGAGAGUAGCAGAAAAGAUGCCUCGUGCAGUGCGACAUCACCUUAGCAUAGAUUGCCAGUUGCACGCUCCCUCACAACUUGAUACAUCUGUGGCAUUGUAUUGUGUGACAAACUACACAUUUUAGAGUGGCCUUUUAUUUUCCCCAGCACAAGGUGCACCUGUAUAAUAAUCAUGCUGUUUAGUUAUCUUCUUGAUAUGCCACACCUGUCAGGUGGAUGGAUUAUCUAGGUACAGGAUAAAUGCUCACUAACAGGGAUGUAAAUACAGUUGUGCACAAAAUUUAAGAGAAAUUAGCUAGUUGUGCAUAAUUAUGGACAAUUUCUGGGAUCUUUUAUUUCAGCUCAUGAAACAUGGGACCCACACUUUACAUGUUGCAUUUAUAUUUUUGUUCAGUAAAUGUACAUAAGUAACCCCACGGAAGUCAAAAUAUUAAAUCAUCACAUUUUAAAUCAACAUUACAAACAUUUCAGCCCACCAAAAGUCCUCAUAUGGGGCUCAAACAUUAGAAAAAAGUCCUCCUAAUUGCAAUCGUUCUGUCUUAAUCCAAUGAAUGCGCCACAUAAUUUUUACACUGAUGCCCCAGGUGCCCUAAAAUAGAGAAUGAAAUUGCUUUUUGGACCAUGUUAUUACUAUUUUAGAACAAUUCCAUGAGUUAGGGUAGUAGUUAUCAUAGAAAAAAUGGCAGAAGCCAAUCAACCAUAGAGGUUUAUACCAGCCCAACCCCUCUCUCCACAUCUGUCCCAGUCUAGGGUAUUUCAGAGAGUGAAACUGGGUCGUCACUACUUAACACAGCAACAAAGUCAUAAUUCUGAAAAACCCCACCUAACCCAACCUUAAAUUUAAGAACAAAAAGCUCAUUUGUCUAGGCAAUUUUGACUUUGUGGCUGUGGAACUUGACUUUAUGGCUGUGUUAUCAGUUGGAGUUGUGGGAGUGAAACUGAGAUUUGCAUAGGCAGGGUUGGGUGGUUCUGCUUGUCCCAGAAUAGAGCAGCACUGGCACCAGAUGUUCAUUCUCUCCCCAGGGGGUUGAAGGUAGAGAAAACCCAGGGAAGCUACAGUGUAGACCACACAUGGUUAAAAACCAUAGCAGAAACG
ensembl:lncRNA